rnacentral:rRNA from 1 species
UACAGAGGGGGCAAGCGUUAUUCGGAAUUAUUGGGCGUAAAGGGUGCGUAGGCGGCGAUUCAAGUGACGGGUGAAAUCCCUCGGCUUAACCGAGGAACUGCCUGUCAGACUGGAUUGCUUGAGGCCGGGAGAGGCGAGUGGAAUUCCCAGUGUAGCGGUGAAAUGCGUAGAUAUUGGGAGGAACACCAGUGGCGAAGGCGGCUCGCUGGACCGGUUCUGACGCUGAGGCGCGAAAGCGUGGGGAGCAAACAGG